rnacentral:rRNA from 1 species
UGGGGAAUCUUGCGCAAUGGGGGAAACCCUGACGCAGCAACGCCGCGUGAGUGAUGAAGGCCUUCGGGUUGUAAAGCUCUGUUCUGGGGGACGAAAAUGACGGUACCCCAGAAGCAAGGACCGGCUAACUUCGUGCCAGCAGCCGCGGUAAUACGAGGGGUCCAAGCGUUGUUCGGAAUCAUUGGGCGUAAAGCGGGUGCAGGCGGCCUUGUAAGUCAGAAGUGAAAGCCCUGGGCUCAACCCGGGACGUGCUUUUGAUACUGUAAGGCUUGAGUGUGGGAGAGGGUAGCAGAAUUCCUGGUGUAGUGGUGAAAUACGUAGAUAUCAGGAGGAAUAUCGGUGGCGAAGGCGGCUACCUGGCCCAACACUGACGCUCAGACCCGAAAGCGUGGGUAGCAAACA